GCGGCGCCGGGCGGGGCCGGCCCUCACUCACCAGCGGGCCCAGCGGACACAAAGCGGCCCUCUAAUGGCGGCGGCGGGGGAACCGGCGGGGGAGGGGCGGGGGGGGCCGGGGCAAAGGGGCGGGGGCGGGGCGAGGAGGCGGGGCCCCGCCGGGUGAUGGGCGGGGCAUGGUGGAGCCGCCGGCCAAUGAUGAGCCGCGGGCAUUUUUCGAACGCGGGGCGCUCUCCCCCUUUCCCUCCCUCUGCCGUGGAUGUGGAUGUGGGUGUGCGCGUGCGCGGCGCCUUCCCGCCCAACGCUGUGCUGAGGUGUUUCCCGCCUCGGCCUCCUGAGGGUGCUGGAGGGCCUCGCGCUCGCUCCGUGGCCUGCAGCCUUACCCCCUCAUUUCUUUCUCACGUUCCUUCAGGUGGCUGCUACACCUGAGAGCGUCUCUGCCCAAAGCCGGCUGCUGUGACUGAGGUCAUCUUCUCCACCCCAGCCUUUCUCCCUGGUUUUUUGCUUUCUUCUUUGUCUCCUACACUGAACAGCCUUAGCCAGAUGGUUCCACUUUGCCAAACAUUCCUUCUUUUCUUGUGAGUGCGGAAUAACCACAGCGCAGCUGCACAGCAAUGUGUUCUUUGGCCUUUCCCCCCAAGCGGUGCCUCUCUGGCAGGAGGGGUGGGAUUAGGAGGAGAGGGAGCAAGAGAGAACAUGCUGCUUUGCUGAAGACUUUUAAGACACGAUGAAGGAAAAGAUGAAAUCACCCCAGCUGCCCUCCCCUUGCUCACUGCAAGCCUUUGUGCAAUACUCCAGCACCUGCACUUGCCGACCCACAGGGCUGCACUGAGACACAAGCAGAGGAGGAGAAAGGCUUUUGUUGUCUCUCUCCAUCUCUCUCUCUCUCUCUCUUUUUUUAAUAUCUCUAAAUCCUCCCCAGAGGGGAGCUGUGGGCCCUGUGCAUUCCUUACAGCCACAUGCCUGCCUGACCACAGCGGGCUGGGAAGCCUGCAAAAAUACUGCGCCUGGGCAAGGCAGCUGCAUCCCACAGAGGGAGCAUGGCGCUGCUCAAUCUCCUCUCCUCUCCACCCCAUUUUCUGGGUGGGCCGAUGUUGUUCCCUCCCCCCAUUCAUAUGGUGUAUCACACUGAGAAGAGUGAAGCUUUGGGAACCAGGGUGACCUUGCCUGCAUUGGUGAGGAUGCACAGGAGGAAGGGAGCAGUGCAGGACAGAGAAAUUGCCAUCAAACUGUGAUUGUAUACAGCACUAUCAUCAUCAUCAAAUACUUUUAAUAAGUGCUAAGCACUUUCAGUCCCUUUUCUAGCCCUCCCAGGUGCCAUGCAAUAGUAUGAACCUCAGCUGGUUCAUGGAUUUUUUUUCCCUUAAAAUUGUUUUUGAUUUUGAUUGCAGCCCUAAAGCUUCUACAAAUUUGCCUGGAGCUUUGGGUUUUGACAGCACAGUUCAGCCUGCAGUUUAAACCAGGUCAUUUAGCUAUUGCUACUGUUUAGAUGAGUAUCCAUAAAAUUUGCGUGUCGAGUGAUUUACCAUUUCCACCCCAUAUCCUUUAGAGACUUUCUAGACCAAUGCCACAUGUUCUUUUUCUACUGGAAACAUGAAACCCAUUGUACUUCUGGUCUCAGUACCUCCAUUCCAGGGGUCACAAGCCUUUUUGUUUACUUUCUUACCAUACACCAACUAAUGUUUUCCCCAUUUUGCCACAAUUUUUAUAUAUAUAUAUAUAUGUAUGUAUGUAUAAAUUUAAUAAACACAUCACCCAUGUUGUUGAACAGCUCACCACCUCAUAGGGAACAAAACAGAAGAUUAUCACUACCCGUGUCGUGGUGUGCUCUCUACACGCUGAAAUCAGCUUCUGCUGCUAUGUUCACGAUCCUGCUGGCUAAGUGGGUAUAGUGUCUUUGUCACCAAAUUCUGUUUUAACAUUGGCCUGCAGCUUCAAACUUCAUUGCUGAUUAUAUUUAGGCCUUGCCUCUGGUAUCCUUACCUCACUUUGGCAAAUUUGUUUUCCACUUUUUUACCUUGCCUUUCACAUUUGUUUUGUAAAACCAGGGAGAAUGUGAGUCUUUUUCGAUUUCAUUCCACAUCUAACUGCAAGCAGGCUGGGGAACUCCUUCCUAUUGCUUCGUUCUUUCAUCCCUCGAGCUCCAUGUUCUUCUUCAGCUUCUUGUGCUUUGAGAAACAAAUCAAAGAUUCCCCAAGAAGUCUUCAUCAAAUUGGGUAGCAUGUGUCUACUGAUUCUUCCUUUUAAACCUGUUUCUCCCUGAGUGUGUCUCUGAGGAAGGUAAUUUGGAGUUUGAUGUAACCUUGAGGCUAAGACAAGCUGUAACAGAACCAGCCUGUUGUUGCUGGCAGCGCUAUUUGAUGGGAGUCAGGCUGUGCCAUUUUGAGUGUAUGGCCACAGCAGCUAAUUUCACAGUAAACAUUCCAAGGAAGCUCACAGAGGGCUUGAGCAGGACCCUUGCUCUUCUGCCUUGAGGUUUCUGUUCAGCAAGCGGCAUGCCUGGCUGUGAAGGGAGAGCCUGGUUGAUGUUUUCAGCUUAACACAGAUAACAGGCAAUGGUGUUGAGUAUAGCUAUCCCAAGGCCAUCACAAACUCAAAGCAUUUAAUUAAUGUGGGUCUCACAUCAAUAUGAGAGACUACCUUGGGCUGAGUGAAGCCCCUCUGCAGCAUGCAAAAGUAUGAGGUGAUGAAGGACUUGUCUGCUUCACAAAAUGGUGUCACUAUUCCCACAGAUCCUGGACAGCACAUACAGUUCUUGACUUCUAGAACAAAUGAUGUGAUGUUCUUUAACCACAGCUUUGUACUUUGUUGCCAUUCUGGGCAUGUUUGGCUGCUUUACCAACUGUACAUCUGUUAUGAUUGCCAGAACAACUUAGAAUUCUCUUCUAGCAUACUGUGUUUGCUGUAACUGCAAAAAUCACUCAAUUUCUGCUUUCAAAAAAUGCAUAUUCUCUGACACUUUGUGACCCUCCAGACACUACCUUUGAUCUUUUCAUCAGCCUCCAACAAUUUUUUCGCCAUACUUUUCCACUCCCACACUUCCAGACUGUUCCACAUUCCACUCCCAGCUGAUCUCUGUUGCUCCUCCUAAUACCCAUUAGGGAUAAUGGGAUAAAUAAACAGCUAGCUUUUCUUUUCAAACCCUUUCCAAUUUUCCAACCAAUCUGCUUACUUUUGAACUUGCCCACUCGUUUUCAUAUUAGUUCCUAACGAAUGAAUAAAAAUAUGAUAAAAAAUACCAAAGUUUGAUCUCUUCCGGAGCCAAGAUGGGUUUUUAUGUAUGGCAGAAACGUACCUGCCACUGGAACUGGCAGAAAUUUUGACCAUAAAGAAAGGACCUUUCAGAAAAAUGCUGUGGGCUAAGUAGCCUCCACAGGCUGCUGCUUUUCUAGAGAUGCCCUAAUCUGAAAUAGAUCCUUAUGACUAAUGAGGCAGAUAUGGUCAUCGCUGGGAAACCAGUGGCUGGAAGUUGUGCUUUUUCCAUCACACUUCUGGCAUUACAGCAGUGAUUUAUUUUACCCCAAGCUAGCAAGAAGAAACAGUGGCUCCCCUAAGCCAAAGACAGUUUGAAGUCAACCAGCUUGGCGUUUCACAGUAGGUCAACACACCUUUCCCAAAGCUGUGUGUCCCCAUGGUUAGUUUCUGACAGUGGGAAUGCUGUUCAGUUCCUUUAGUCUCUGAACCAAAUACCAUUUCAAAUUGAAAUUGGUUCGCAGCAGGCUGCGGCGCAGAGCAGGCAGCGGCUGUUCCUCUCAACCAGGCAGGUAAUAACUUACUGUCAGGAACGCCUCCCGGCUGGGACACUUUUCCAGCUACAAAAGCUCAUUUUUGGCUGCUGUGUGUGCACUGUGUGCCCCUGCUACCAGCAGCAUGCCCAGCACACUCAGCGGCCUGGCUGGGCUAUGGCCUUCACACUGGUCCUGCAGCUGUAACAGAGCAACAGCAUGCCAGCAAGCCUUUCUAGGAAGACAAAACCCUUUGGCUGAGCAGGAAUUUAAAGCAUUUUUGGCGAUAGCUCUUGCUCGAAGCAUACAGUCAGAUCUGGUGCUGGCUCACUUGUCUCUCCAUGGGAAAUCCUGUCGGCUGGCUCGUCUUUGACAUUUGACAGCCAUAGUCCAGGCUCCUGUUCAAAUGAACUACCUUGUGAUGGUGGAGGCAGCCAGCAGAAUCGGAUGUGUUCACCUUUUCUUGGAGGAUGAGCAUGUGCUCUGCAGAGAAGAUCUGUGAAAUUCUUUGUAUUUGAUGAUUACAUUGCAUGAAAAAAGCAUCUCAUGUCAGCUGAUCCCAAGGCAGACACUGAUACUGUAAGAAAGCAAUUCAGAGGAAGCAGCUGGGAUAGGUUCUAUCAGCCCACUGUUGUGUUGUCCUUUUGUGGCAGUUCACUGGAAUUAUUUCUGCCCUGAAGACCCAAAGCAGGGCUGUGCAGCAGGAGAACAAUGCCAUGGACUGUGCUCAUCAUCAUAAGUUAAUGUGGCAGCAGUGCCACAGCCCUGCAGAGCCUCCUCCCUUCUUAGGACCCCUUGUUCUGGUGCAGUACACAGGUACCCAGCACAACUCGGUCACGUACAACCAGGAGGUGGCCAAGACGGACAGCUCAUUCAUUUAAGUCUAUCUUUACAGGCAGAGAGCAUUUGCACCCAGCAUUAUUUCAGAAUAGCUUAUUCUGAUGCAUUGAAAUUACCCGUUUUCCUCCACAGGUGAGACCCACAAGUACCAGUUGAAAUGAUCUUUUCAGCCCUUCUCUGCAGUGCUGUAGUAAAAGACUUCUAACAGUGCUCUCCUACAUGUUAAUGCUCUGCACUCCAAGCUUGGGAACUGUGCUUUGUGACAACAUCUGCUAUUAACCCUCACAGGGGGCUGGAACAAGACAACUAAGCAUGCAAAAGGAAGGCUUUACUGUUUUCUCCUCUCACAUUAAUACAAAGAUUUCCUAACUUCCUUAAAGCAUUGAUUGCCUUCCCCAUGACCCCUUUCUCCCUUCCAGUUUGCAGUCACAGCACAAACAUCCCUGCAGCUGGGACAGCAAUGGCACAGUUGGACAAAUUCCCCUUUGGAAAGCACUGAAUGGAGCAGGAGCUGGUUUUAUUUCUCUCUUCUUUUCAGUGCAAUUUAGCAGCUGGAAGGGAGGGAGAUAAACCAGCUCCACAUGAUGAAAACUUUCCAUAGAUCAUGGUCAGGGCAUCCCUACAGCUGCAUUUAAAUACGCAGGAGUUAUUUCAGACAUAACUGAUUGUCAGGAUAGGCGGUAUGAAGAGCCCCGUGGAAAAUACAAGGGUAGAAAACUUCUACUGAAGUUUCCUCAGAUAUGUGCGAGGGUUUAGUCAUGCUGCUGGAAGCUGAGUGGGCUGAUCAAUCUCACACUUGCUGUGGUUGCUUGUCUGUCGCCAUGCUUUUCCUGCCAUGGCUCCUUGAGGAUUAUCUAUCCACGGCGCUGGAGUGCCAAGCAGCCGCGCAGCCCUGGGCUCCAUCCUACUGUUGCUGCAGUGUGCAUGUGGCCCUCAGGCCUCAGAGCAUUGCUCAGGGUUUCUAUCAGCGUGUGGCCUUUCGCACACCCUGAGUUAGCACCUUAUUAAAAGAAAGUGGCAGGUGAAGAGCUGGCGCUUCUGCUGAUGUUGUUUGGCCAGAGAUGCUACUCAGUUGGCCUAGGGUCAAGUAGCAGCAGAGAGCCAACAUCUUCCAAAGAGCAGAAAGAGCCAAGAUCUCCCUCCCAAGCACGUCAUGUGGGAGCUCAGUGCUUGCUAGUCUGCCCUUCUGCCCCGUGCUUCCUCCUCAGCAGCCCUGACCAGACUCCCACCUCAUGGCACCUCACCACCAGCACAUCUACCUCUGGCCAACAGCCACCUCACCUAAAGGGAGCUGAGUGUCUUGAGGCUGCUCUGCAGUUAUCACCAUUUCCCUGGUGUGGUCUUCAGGGAAGCCGUGCGGGUACAAGAGGGUUAUCAUAGAAUCACAGAAUCAUAGAAUCUUGAGGUUGGAAAGGACCUAUAAGAUCAUCUAGUCCAACUGUCCUCCCAUUACCCUUGCUACCACAAGCCACUAAACCAUAUCUCGUAGCUCCUCAUCCAGACGCCUCUUGAACGCUGCCAGGGACGGCGACUCCACCACCUCCCUGGGCACCCAUUCCAGUGCCUGACCACCCUCUGAGAGAAAAAGUUUCUCCUAAUGUCUAACCUAAACCUCCUCUGGCACAACUUGUGGCCAUUUCCUCGGAUCCUGUUAUUUGCCUGGGAGAAGAGGCCAAACCCAUCCUCAUCACAGCCUCCCUUCAGGAAGUUGUAGAGUGCAAUGAGGUCUCCUCUGAGCCUCCUCUUCUCCAGACUGAACAAUCCCAGCUCCCUCAGCCGCUCCUCACAAGGCCUGUGCUCCAGACCGCUCGCCAGUUUUGUUGCCCUUCUCUGGACACGUUCCAGGGCCUCGAUGUCUUUCUUGUAGUGAGGGGCCCAAACCUGAACACAGUACUCGAGGUGCGGCCUCACCAGUGCUGAGUACAGGGGGAUGAUCACCUCCCUGCUCCUGCUGGCCACGCUAUUUCUAAUGCAGGCCAGGAUGCCAUUGGCCCUCUUGGCCACCUGGGCACACUGUCGGCUCAUGUUCAGCCAAGCAUCAACCAACACCCCUAGGUCCCUUUCCUCUUCACAGUCAUCCAGCCACUCAUCCCCAAGCCUGUAGCGCUGCAUGGGGUUAUUGUGGUCAAAGUGCAGGACCCAGCACUUGGCCUUGGGUGUGGGUAUGUGUGCCUGGUUUUGAGUUUGCUGCCUACAAAGCUGAACCCUCUCGCAUCUGUGGAACAAACCAAAUGCAAGGGACUGGUACCAGGGGCACAGCUGUACUAACUGUUCUGCUCUACAGUGAAUGCUUCUGACAAACCAACAAGCUUCAGGUACCUUUGUCUGCAAAAAACUCGAGUUGGAACUCAACAUACAGGAACAAUCACAGCCACCCUUUUGGCAACCAGAUGCCAACAUCUACAGUUGGUUUUAAGGAUUUUCUCAGAGGCCCUGCAUUGUCUUUCUCAGAAGAAAUGAUCUGUAGGUUACAAACAGGGGUCACAGGGAUGCAGCAGACUGGUAAGUUGCUAUUAGCUUAAAUCUGUCUUGUACAUGCUGGAAAGCACCUCUACUGCCAAAUCCCUUUUCCCAAAUCUCUUUCCGUGAGCCUUUAGCUACCAGCUCUUGCACCAGGGAGUGAUGGUCCUGGGCAAAAUCACAACCACAUCAUGACUAUUCUCAUGACUGUUCUCACUUGCAGAGUACCUGCAACAUCCCUGUCACAAGCUUUUGGGAGCUGCUGCCUCGUUUAGAAAUGGAAAGCACUCAGGUGUGACCGUGAGUAGCACCGUGCCACAACCCACGUGACUCAGGAGCACCUCGGGCUCCUUGGCUCCAGUGCACACAGGGCACAGCUGAAACGCAGCCAGACUGGGCAGUUUUAUAGGGAAAAAGCAAAAGGCAGAGCUGCACACCAAGGUCUAUUUCUUGAGAAAAGUCUUGAGAAGAUAAGGCUAAAAACUGAAAUGAGGUAACACAAGAAGACACUGCAAGGUCUGUUAUCUGCGUAUUCCCUGACCUCAUUCCUAGAAAUGGCCGAUGCAGUCCUGGAAACACUUUCCUAGAAAGAAACCAGCCUUAGGCACACACCUGGCCUGGAUACUUUGAAUGCUCCAGGUACAGGGACAUUUUCAGCAAGGAAGACAAACAGAGACAGUGAUGCAUCUGCUCCUCCUUGCCUGCGCCUUUGAUAGCACACACAGCACAAGAAGGGCUCCCAGCAGUGGAAAUGGCUUUUAAUGCAUCUCUUUCCUGCUGAGCUGCAUUAACUCCCUGCCAUGUUCAUGAGCCUGCCCAGGCGAUGUGUUUAAAUGCUUUGUAGGACCAAGAUGGAAGGGGAAAAGAAAACAAACCACAAGCACUUAGUAUUAUUAGGGGAUAUCUGCUGUCCUCCCUGCUUACACUUUGCUGUAUCACUAGGUAACAACACGCAUGUAUGUAGAAUGAGGCUUCUGCAAAUCAAUCACGAGAAGAAAACUUAUCAUUAUUAAUUACCCUCUUUUCUGUUUCAUGCAUCUCUUACAGUUUUUCUCUUUUAACACCCUACAGGGAGGAUGUGUUGCAAAGAUCUUCAUGGACCACUAGCUACAUCCCAAAAUCCAUGCAGAUUUAGAAGGCAACUGAAAAGCAGCUGCAGCCUGCAGGUAAGCAAGCAGCAUGUGGCAAACAGAGCAAGGCGGGCAGAGGAAGCAAUUUUGCUCCAAGGUUGGACCAGAUGUGCUCCUUUUGGUGACAUUUGUAGGAAGCUGAGCCUCAAGGCAACAUAUCCACUGCUGGAAGCCUAUGCCCAGCGUAUAAACUUCUUACAUCACUCCAUGUACAGAUUUAUUCCUCCAGCUUAAGAAGGUGUAAAAAUUCCUGUGUUGCGAACACACCUUUUCAGAGCCUUUGGGUAAUUCUGAAAACAUUCUUAAAACCUCUGAAACCUUCCUUCCUGCUGCAAGACACUAACAAGGCAAGUUUCCACUCCCUAGGCACAUUUACCAUUACAGGCUCAAACAAGGAGGGGAGAGACUUUUCUCCUCUACCCAUGUGCUCACUGAUCCCCUUCCUUCCAGCAAGUGGUUUUCCAGCUCCUUCAGUCUGAAGAUUCAAGCUCUCCAACAUCCCUGCCCUUGCACGCUCUGAUUCACAUGAAUGUUCAAAGGCUCCAGCAAUUUCUACCUUUCUGAUUCAAUGCAAACAACACACAAAUCACAGUCCUUGUGUAGCGGCACAUGGCAGCUCUGGCAUAGGACACACACAUCCCCAGCAGGGUCUGAACACUGCCCACCUUCCAAGAGAAAAUUCAUCCGGUGUGAGUGCUGCACAACUUAGCAAAUAUUUGGCCUAAUCUAUACACAAACUCACAUCUUAACUGAACUAUUUCACUGCUACAAACCAUCACAUACCCACUCUUGUUCUGGCUCAAAAAUUAGCUUUUGCAAGAAGAGCACACACACAACCCAUAAAGCUUUACAAACCAUCAUGGAAUGGUGAGCCCAAGGCUGGGGGUGGGGAGGGGAGCAGCUGUAGAUGAGGAACUGCUGGGUGUUAUACAGGCAGAUACAUACAUAUCCAUAUAUUAUGGGUGAGAAGUUUUUUGUUUUUUUUUAAAUCUUUUUUCUUUUUCUUUUUUAACAAAACAUCAGAGAAAAGUAUUUUAUUGUUAAUUAAAAAAAAAAAAAAAGAACUGAACAAUGCUCUAGUGUUUUAGGCCAUGGAUUCUCUAGCUCAGAUGCAUGGCAUGGAACACACAUUAACAGGGAAAGUGUCACACAGACAUCUCCCCCUCCAGCCACAACCAGGUACCCUCCUCCCUUCCCCUUGGUGAUCAAGUAACGUCCUUAUGCGAGUACAGCAAUUGUUUACAUGUAAAAGUAAGAUUAGGAAAGUAUUUAAUGUAUUUUUUGCCUUUUUUUUUCUUGUUUUUCCUUUUCUUUUUCCCUUUUUUUUUUUUUUUUUUUUAAGAUUAAAAAGAAGUGGUUUAGCAGCUGGAAAGAAAA